CCGCCGGGUGCGGGGACGUGCCGGAGCGGGGCCGUGGCACCGCAGCCCGGGGCGGCCCUUCGGGACGGUGCCGGUCAGCUGCGAGGACAGCGAGUUUUCUUUUUAUAUGAGGGGAACGUUUGAAACAGCCCGCAGAACCAGGCGGGGCAGCGGUGGCUGAGGUGGAUUCGUGCGGCGAAGGUCCUAAUCUAGACCAUUUAAAAGGCUGCUUUACAUAGGCCUCUACUGAUCCAGUCCCUGAACUCAUCUAGAAGACAGAAGAAUGACCAAAAAGCAAUACAGUAAUUGUAUUUUUUUUACAUGAGAAGAGGAUUAAGAAUACUUUACAUGAAUUGUAGCCUAGACAGCUGAUACCUGGGGCAAAAGGAACAAAUCUUCCUAGGCAUAAAUGGACUGAAUACUUAGUGGAGAGUGGGACCAGAAUCAUCCAUUAACCCGUGGCAAGAAGGACAAAGAAAGAAGCAGAGUAAAUAGCAUACUGACCUAAUGAUGGGAACUGAAAGUGUGACAUUCCUAUUAGCCUCUUCCUUCCAGCAAAACUGAAUUGUAAUAAAGAAUCCAGUCUACAUCUUCUAGCCUGUCUCCAGUUACAAGGCAGGAAAAGGGGACAUUUUGAGGUAUAGGGUUACUAUCAUAAGUUUCAUCAGUUUGGUGAUACCAUAUAUAUUUUCAAUUUAAAUAAAUUUAAAUUUUAAAUAAAGUGGUUUAGGAUUCAAAACCAAAUAACAUGGUCUCUGCUGAUGAAAAUUAAAUAAUGUUGUUUAUCCUCAUAAGCUUUUUUUUGUUUGUUUUUUCUCCUCCAAGCUAUCAAGGAAUACACCCCCAUAAUAUACAAAGAACAUAGAGAUACAUAUUAUGUGCAGUGUUGUACAAGACCCAAAAUUGCUGUAUUGUACAGAACAUACAUGUCCUGAAAAUAUUUUUAAAAAUGUUUAAUAGCAAAUGUUUCAUCAAUCUGUUAUAUCAUGUUGUAUAUGGAAAGAAGACUAACACAGAGCUAAUUAAUCUGUUUGCUUCCAAAUUUAAGCAAACACUUAAUAUACCACUAAUAUUUAUUGUUUUUUAAAUGUUAGGCAUGUCUCUAAGUGGUAUUUGAAUCUGAUUCUCUUAAGCUGAAACAGUUUUACUGACUCAAUGAUACAAGCAUUUCCUGAAAAGAAGGACAUAUUUCCUGUAUAUUGUUAAUAUUUGACAGCACUGAUCCUAAACGAGUAGAAACAUGACAGUGAUUUGCAACACAGACUUUAAAAUACAGUUGAAAUUCUGUACUAUUGUAUCCCACGUAAACUCAU